rnacentral:rRNA from 1 species
UACAGAGGUCUCAAGCGUUGUUCGGAUUCAUUGGGCGUAAAGGGUGCGUAGGCGGCGCGGUAAGUCGGGUGUGAAAUCUCGGAGCUUAACUCCGAAACUGCAUUCGAUACUGCUGUGCCUGAGGACUGGAGAGGAGACUGGAAUUUACGGUGUAGCGGUGAAAUGCGUAGAUAUCGUAAGGAAGACCAGUGGCGAAGGCGGGUCUCUGGACAGUUCCUGACGCUGAGGCACGAAGGUCAGGGGAGCAAACGGG